UCUCUCUCUUUCUCUGUGUGUGUGUGUGUGUGUGUGUGUGUGAGUGCAUGUGAGUGCAUGUGUAUGUGAUUUUUAUUCCAGCCCUCCUUCUAACAGCUAACUCCAAAACCAAGUCCUUUAAGCCACCGACUCACUCUCAACCAAAAAGUAGACCAACCUUUGUUAAGGAAUGUGUCCCCAUGCCUACCCCACCCCAAAGGACACUGCCUUCACCUGACAGUAUCACUCCACAGAGCCCUGCUAUAUGGGAGCUUUCCAGAGCCUAAUAUAGCUACACCAGUAGUCAGAAGUUUCAGGUGUUCUGGUCUCAUAUGGCCUAGGCUAACCUGGGACUCCCUAUGUAGCCAAGGAUGGCAUUGGAUUAGUGAUCUUACUGCCUUACCCACCAGAGUGCUGGUCACCUCUGACUGGCAUGUGCCAGGAUGAUUGACUCUGUAUUUUCAUCAGCUCAGACCCAAUGGACAGGAUAACACAUCUUGUUAUGGCACUUCAUAUAUAAUAAGCAUAUAACACACUUUAGUAGAGAUCUCAACCCAUCCACCUCCCUUCCUCAUUCUCCCCCUGCAUAGGAGAGAGACCAUGAGAGCUUUGUCUCUCUGAGCGUGGAUUAUUCUACAGGAUGAUCUCCAUCUGCAGGUAAAAGAAACAGUAGCUCAGAGAAGUUAGGCCAUUCACCUGACCUCACACAGCUAGUGAGCAGCUGUGCCUCAUCCAUUGAUUAUUAACUGAUGCAGGAGGACCCAGCACACUGUAGGCUGUGCCAUCUCUAGGCAGGCAGUCCUAGGCUACCUACAAAAGCUAGGCACACACAAACCCAUGGGCAAGCUCACCAGUGAGCAGUGCCCUCCAUGGCCACUGCUGUGUUUCUCUGGCUGUGAGCGAAUUCCUUGGUCAGAGGUACCUUACUUUGCAUAAGCAGGUCUGCUCAGGUUGCUGUCGUACCCUCCUGCUCAGACUUCCCUCCAUGAUGGACUGUGACCUGGAAGUGUAAGAUGGAGCAAACUUCUCCCUGUCCCAGGCUGCCAUUGGUCAGAGUGCUUUACCACAGCAACUGUACAUAUCUAGGCAGAUCCUAAGGCAAGCUAACGUCUCAGACCACAGCCUGUGGAAGAGCUGACUGGUUAGGAAGCAUCCUGGAAAGACAGGCUUGAAGAGACUCCUCACAGGGAGAUAUGCCUUGCAAAUGUCAGGAGAUAAAGAAGUGAGCAUGUGACUGUUUUGCUCUUAAUGGACAUUAUAGCUACAAAGUGGGGGUUUAUCCUGAUCUAAUUAGUGGAUGCAGGAUACAUUGUUGUCUCUGCAGCAAUCUACAAAAGAAAAUAUACAGAAUUCCACACCUCUCAUUACAUGGAAGGCAAGGAGAGAGAGAGAGGUCCUGGUUAGGAAUUAGUCAGCAUCUGUAGCUUGCCAAAGGGACACAGCAGUCGGCCACCAGCUAACAGGACCUCUGACCAGCACGGAUGACCCUGUGUGCUAAUGAGAAAGGAAAAUGAUAUCUACCUAUAUGUUUGGGACACACACCCACAGGGAAGCGUACCUGCUUCCCUGCUGUCUUUUCUGUCUGCUGGGUGUUUAUUAUUUUAUGAUCUCCCUGGAUCACCACCUCUGCUCUCUCUGCAGCACCCUGUCAGCACUCUCCUCUGAAGUGUUGAACUGGUGAUGUUCACAGGACACUCUGGCCACUAUUGGCCAAGCACUCGGUGGUCUGUAGGAGAAGCAGGCAUGUCCGCAUCACGACAGUUCUCUGAUGAGUAAAAACUCCUAGGCUCACAGUAAGUGUGGGUCUCAUCCACCAGAACACCGCUUCAGGGGUCCAAUGUCACUUUGAGAAUGGAAAAUGUCUCCGGAUGUGAGAAGCAUUUAACUUGUCUUACCACACACAGAUCCCCCAAGCUAAAUAUUGUGUUUGCUCAUGACUUGAUUGACAUAGCAUUGGGAUGUAGGGUUCAUUUCCAUUCUCACCCUGAGGGAGAAAGUAUGGAAGAUUCCCCCCUACCAUAGCAAUUUUUUUGUUGUUGUUUGUUAUUUUUGAAUGCCUCGUGGUUUUUCACCCUCUUAGGUAAUUACAUUUCUUAAGACAUCCUGUCUUUUGGCAUCUAUCAAAACAAAGAAGAAAGAUGAAAGAGUUGCUGAUAAAAAAAAAUCCCCUCAUCACGGCUGACUCCAUGGGGGCAGAGGACCUCUCCCACUAUCGAAGGUCCAAACAGACAGAAGGACUCAGGAAUGUUCUAGAUGUGACCGAAAACCAGUGCAGCAAUUUCUAAGGCAAAGCCGAGAUUUCAAAGCAGCAACCUCAGUGGCUACAUCCUAACAAAGAUUGGGAACACAGACACCACUGGUCCAAUGAGAAUUCUGUAUAAAGGAAUUCUUGUAGCGGAUGUAACUCACAACCUGUCCCCUAGGUGAGAGACUCCCAGAGUUUCUCCCAAGGCUUGCCUUCUCCAUCUUUACUCGGGUCCUUCAGGCCACAGCAUCCCAGGAGCAUCUCUCGAUCUUGUCUGGGGUCCCCUAGAUUUCAGCUUCUAUCAAUUCACACAUCCUUAUGGGCUGUUUCUCCUCCCACACCCUGACAACCCUGGGCUGGUUUCAAAAGACACUAAAUUUGAUAACUAACCCUUAUUACUCAUUGCCCUCUCCACAGUAUUCUUGGCAGGGGUUAGACACUGACAUUUCCAGCUGAAAAAUAAUGCAUUGUCAAGUAGGAAAACUGCAGGCUGUAAUUUCUAACACUUGUAUCCGUUAUUUUAAACACGGAACAUCGCAUCGGCUUGACAUUAAUUUAUAUAAUGGGGACCGAAAAGGAUAAUGCAGCCUUAGUGACCCCCUCCAUUUCAUUAGCUGACAGCGAGAGCCACGAACCCAAAAGUACAGAAUCACCCUGCACAAAGCAAAGUCUGUUUGUACACCUCCCAUCAUGCAUUAUUGAAGCAGACCAGGUCAUUAGGGAGAAUAAUCAGGAUGCCAGCGCAAAACCAGCCGCUGACAAAUGCAGACACAAAACUUUUAUGAAAGUUUGUAAAUAUGGUAUUGUAUGGAAAUUCCAAUGCAUAUUGGCCUCCCUGAGCAUAGUAAAAUGUUUUAUUAUGAAAAAAGUGGAUAAGAUACUUAUCUUUUAAAUUGGAGUUUAAUAUUUUAUUAGUGCCAGGCACAUAAUUCUCAUCAAAUGGCAGGAAACUCUUUUUUGUAUGGAUAUAAAUGUCUAGAGUUUAAUAUUUCAAAGAUAAGCACCUACCACUACAUCUAUCACACCGCAGCUUAAUGGAAUUUACUUUUUCUUAAAUAUUUAUACUGUAUGUGUGUUUGCUAGUCGAGUGAUUAUAGCUAAGGUAGAGGAGAGUCUGGUCCUGUUAGGAAGUGGAACCAGCAGAGAGCUUAGCGCCCCCCACCUUGUUAAGCUGCAUGGGGAGAAUAAUUAAGUACCUCAGACCCAAGGGCUGAAAGGACCCAUCCUGAGGAAGGUGGACUUCUCCAAAGCAAAUAGCCACCAGGUUGCUUUGAUUCCACCUGAGUUUUUUUAGAGAGACUUCUCAGAAGAAAUUAUGCUUAUUGAAUUAGAAUUGUGGGGGCGGCGCUUGACUUUCACGGGGAGCUUGCAUUGUGUUGAAAACCUGCCUCUCUCUGCCACCCAAGGGUGGGAGGAUUUUAUGAGGGCCAGGGAAGAGCAGGCUGGAGCCCUUCAGCCCUGCAAACUCUUUCAUGGGGCCUGAGAAAUGCUUUCUGAUCCAUGCUGAUACAAUUACUCAGCCUUUAUUGGCAAUUUAGACCUGCUUUUAGGGACAUUUUAGAGCAAAUGAUGUUUUCUUGAUAUUUUAAAAAAAAAUCAGUGCUAUUUUCUGUACCUUUGGGAUAAAGGUAGAAACUGAGUUAGAGGCUCAUUAGAACUCUGAUUGCCACAAUGUGGUUUGUCAUCACCAUCACGAGGAACCUGGGUUACCAAAACAGCAUCUAUGGGCUUCAUUGGUCAUUCUCUUGCCUCAACCAAAGGUACUUUUAUAUUGUUUAUUUGUGUGGUGUCCGAGGCAGUGUUUAAUAUUUCUAUACUUAGAAAGGUCCUAAAGAUCCCCCAUUAGUUGAAGGAUAUUAAACUGAACUUGAUAAAUUUUUUAAUACACACAUUUGCCAAGGAAAGGCAGGAUGAGUCUUUGUCCCUGCCAAAGGUAGACAUCCCAUUUAUGAGAUUGUUGCUUCCAGACCUGGCCCAUGCUAGGGUCUUCUUUACCAAAGGAAUGGUUAGAUUGACAGUGAAUAAAACCAGUGAUCCUUCAAGACUUUCCAGCAGGGACUUCAACUGGAGGGACAGUGAAGGCUGUGAUGUGGAAUUAAUAGAGCCAGGGACCCUUCCUCUUGCUGCACAUGAGGCACAAGGUGCAGUUGCAUUGGCUAGAGGAAAAUCAGUCCCUGCUUUGGCAAACCACAUCAGAAAAGGUGGCGGUUCCUUACCCUGUAGACAGCAGGAAAGGGAGAGGAAACCUGGCUGUAUGGGGCAUCAGCUAUGUGUGUGUAUCCUACUGUGAAAGGAGAUAGCAGGCUGGGGGGCGGGGUCCACAUAUAGGGAGUGGGAAUGCUCUCUCUUCCCUCCUUCUGCCAGGGAGAUUUUCCUGUGAUGAGUAAAACCUGAUAAUUUAAAAUGUUCUUAAAGGUGACUGUGUGAACGUCAGUGAACUUGGUUGUGGUAAAUAAAACCUGUUAAUUAAAAAUGUAUUCCUUGGGGAAAACAAUGUUGGCUGCACCCCUGUUGCCCCAAGUGUGUGUACCAAAUGCAUGGCUUCCACAGGAUGGGACAACUCAGAUCAGUUGGGGGGGGGGGACAGAAAGGAUGACUUAGGUCACACAGCUUCUCUAGGCUUGGUACCUGAGAUGAAGACUCCCAGCUGUGCCAUGACUCAUGCCCAUCUACCAGCAUCCAGGGAAAAACUCUUCCCUUUGUUCCCAGGCCCCAGCUACUCUAGCCACACAGUACCACCUCCUAGCUUUAACCCUGGCCACUGGCUUUGCUUCAGAUACCCCCCCCCCAAUGCUACCUCCUCAAAGAGAUUCCCUGCAGCUAUAUUACAGUGCUGCCUGGUUCCUGUCACCUUGCCUGGUCUCCAUCCUGACCCUCUUGCUAUCUAAAGAGAUCUUUUAUUUUUUUCCCCUAGGUACUAUGUCACCUCCAUCAAGAUACUCCCAAGAGAACAAAGAUAGUCUGUUUUUUUUUCUGCACUCCCACCUGUUAACCUAUGGCUGGUACUCAGUAGAUGUCCAGUUCUUUCUUGUUGAGAUACUGGAAAGUGUGUGCGUCGAAGCAGGGCUAGCAGCACUCUCUCUAGUUGGUUGGCCUUGUACUUGUAAGUUGAUGAGGAUGCUUAGGAGGGGGUCUCUGCAGCUCAAAGCUUAAAGCAAACUGCAGUUCAAGACUGGGCCAAUACAGGGCACUCGGGAGGCAGGCAGCUGGGAGAGAUUGAUACCUGCAGUGAGAGGCAUCAGCUGGAGCCAACCACAUGUCCACAAAAAGAACAUCCCUGCCCUGCCUCCUGGUUCACCUCCUUCCGAUUAUUCUAGUGCCUGCAAAGUUCUAAGUUCUAAGGCAGAAGCCCAAAGGAGGGAAAACUGUCAUAUAAGCAGUGAGCCUUAACCCCCUGGGGAUAUGAGGCCCACAAGCCAGGGCAGGACCAGAGCAGAUAUGAUUGAAGCUCAGAAUCAGGGUCACAAGGACAUCUGACCCUGACACUGAGGUUGUAAAUGAUUCUUUUGGGACCGGAUGCAUGGCACCGGACACUGAGUCUGGCACACACAGGCUCUUUCUCAAGACCUACAGGGUCUGUGCUGGCCCAGGUCUCCCACCUUGGGAAGUUGCUUUGCAGGUAGGCAUUUCAGGGAUGCCCUGGGACAGCAGAAGACACGGUAGAAUAUGUACAAAAGGAUUAUAUCUAGUGUGAGGAGGAAUAGACACCAAAGAAGAAAGACUACGGGAGCCUGGCACAUAUAGGAGAUACUUUGCCUGGGCCUGGAACACACAGCAAGACAGUGCUAUCUCCCAGUGUUCUGUCUUUCUUAUUCUGGUGGCUGGAUUGGGCAGUGACAUUUGGUUAAGAAUAUAUUUGUGUGUUUGCUUCCAGAAUGGGAGUCAAACCAUGCAUGUCCUGAGAAUGUAUAAUGCACCUGUAUUGCAAUGUUAAUGUCCAACUAAAUUGCCACCCACAGGAGCCUAGCACCACAACCACCAAGCAGGUGCCUAAGCAUUGUUCUCUGAACAUUCUGGUCCUUCUCAUUCUGAGGUACCUGUACCUCAGCCUGCUCAAAGGAAGCCCUGGCUUCCAGCUCCUUCCACAGCCUUGUGGUCUACCUUGGUUCAGGCCAGAAGAAAUUUUUCUGCUCUGUCCUAAUGGUCUUUGUUCCCCACAAUAACUCUAGACCCAAUACACCAUAAUCAGACCUAAAAAUGACAAGAAGUCCUGAAACCCUUUGGGAAAUUACCAUCUUGGAUCCUCCCUGCCCCUAUAGCCUUUCAGCCUAAGAGCACCUACAUACACCUCAGUGGGGAUAUGCUGUCCACUCAUAUCCAACAGGGAGACCAGGGGCAGGCAUGGUUCCCCUCUUAGGUGCAAAGAUUACACCUCUACAGGCCUGCUGCCCCACAAGGGAGAUUAACAGAGACACGGUUUGUAGCUCUUUGUGAUUUUGCCACCACACACAGGCAAGAAAUAAGUUAUACUUUAGGCAAGAUUUUUUUUCCCAAGUGGCAGAGACAGAGGAGGGCAGUUCAAGGGAGACAGAGUUCCCCCCAGAGGAAAUAGCUGCUGUUGCUCUCUCCAAAGAGGUUCCCAAGGACCCAGUGCUGCAAAUGAAUUGUCUUUCCUUCCUGCAUUUCCAGGCCCUAUUCUGAAGAAAAGAAAAACCUAAUUUGUGUAUGUGUGGGGUUAGGCUGUGGGGAAUUUAGUCCUCUCUUGUCUAAAUCUCAGUUCAUAUUGCUUUCCCCAUCUGAGAAUUCUGUCAUCUUAGCGGCUCCCCGUGUUUCUUCAAAACUACCAAUAAAUAAAAAUUGACAAAAGCGAAAAAGGAAGAUUCCAGGAGCCCCUGGUGCCAGCCAAAGUCUGCAAAGUUUGAACUCAAACUGCUGAAGAGACAAAUGCCUAUAAAACCCAGUAUAGAAAUUCCUGCAGGAAACUCGGGUGUUUAAAUAUCUGCAAUUACUCUCUCGUGAUUAAAGAAGGAUAUGAAGGACGACGGACAUUUGUGCCCAACAGCCAACAGGAGAAGUCUUUUCCUGGGUGCAGGAUUGGAGGAUGCUGCGUACCUCAGAGCAGAAGCUGGACACACCAUGGGCUUUUCAUUUCAAGGAUGUCUAAACAAAAUGAGGUGACGCUAACGAAGCUGUUUGAACUACGAAGCGUGGGAGAUCUCUAAUUCACCGAAGCAGAGGAGCCUGGGGUUUUAAUCUUAAACAUAGAGAGAGUUCAUGAACGCAAGGCUCUGGCAUGGUUUACUGAAUUAUAAUUGACCAAAGGAACAGUAAAAAUAGAUUAAUGCUAACAUGAGUGAUCAAUUUCCCCCUGAAGUACCGAGCAAGGUUACUCUCUGCAGUUACUUCAUUUCUAAGCGUCUUCUGACAUCUCUGCUCGUCUACGGUGGGCGCUGG